rnacentral:pre_miRNA from 10 species
AAGCCUUGACUGUUAGCCUUUGGGAUGCAAACCUGCUCUCAUUUAAGUCAAUGUGAGUUUUAUCAUUGACUUAAUUGGAAGUGAGAUUGAGCCACUGGGCAUGUGAGUGGCUUUGAGU